CAGCACCUCGAGUGGUCAGGAUGAUUAUUGGGCCUAAAGCAUCCGUAGCCGGCUCUGUAAGUUUUCGGUUAAAUCUGUACGCUCAACGUACAGGCUGCCGGGAAUACUGCAGAGCUAGGGAGUGGGAGAGGUAGACGGUACUCGGUAGGAAGGGGUAAAAUCCUUUGAUCUAUUGAUGACCACCUGUGGCGAAGGCGGUCUACCAGAACACGUCCGACGGUGAGGGAUGAAAGCUGGGGGAGCAAACCGGAUUAGAUACCCGUGUAGUCC
rnacentral:rRNA from 1 species